GAUGAACGCUGGCGGCGUGCCUAAUACAUGCCAGUCGAGCGAGCAGACGAGGAGCUUGCUCCUCUGACGUUAGCGGCGGACGGGUGAGUAACACGUGGAUAACCUACCUAUAAGACUGGGAUAACUUCGGGAAACCGGAGCUAAUACCGGAUAAUAUAUUGAACCGCAUGGUUCAAUAGUGAAAGACGGUUUUGCUGUCACUUAUAGAUGGAUCCGCGCCGCAUUAGCUAGUUGGUAAGGUAACGGCUUACCAAGGCGACGAUGCGUAGCCGACCUGAGAGGGUGAUCGGCCACACUGGAACUGAGACACGGUCCAGACUCCUACGGGAGGCAGCAGUAGGGAAUCUUCCGCAAUGGGCGAAAGCCUGACGGAGCAACGCCGCGUGAGUGAUGAAGGUCUUCGGAUCGUAAAACUCUGUUAUUAGGGAAGAACAAAUGUGUAAGUAACUAUGCACGUCUUGACGGUACCUAAUCAGAAAGCCACGGCUAACUACGUG
rnacentral:rRNA from 1 species